UCCGGUUUAUCACCGGCAGUCUCUGCAGAGUGCCCAGCUUAACCUGAUGGCAACAGCAGACAAGGGUUGCGCUCGUUGCGGGACUUAACCCAACAUCUCACGACACGAGCUGACGACAGCCAUGCAGCACCUCUACGAGUGUCCUUGCGGAAGUCGACUUUCAUCGAUGGUCACUCGCACUUCAAGCCUGGGUAAGGUUCUUCGCGUUGCGUCGAAUUAAACCACAUGCUCCACCGCUUGUGCGGGCCCCCGUCAAUUCCUUUGAGUUUCAGCCUUGCGGCCGUACUCCCCAGGCGGGGUACUUCCUGCGUUAGCGCCGGCACCCAAGGGGUCGCUCCCCCAGGCACCUAGUACCCAUCGUUUACGGCGUGGACUAC
rnacentral:misc_RNA from 1 species